rnacentral:rRNA from 1 species
UACAGAGGUCCCAAGCGUUGUUCGGAUUCACUGGGCGUAAAGGGUGCGUAGGUGGUCGGGUAAGUCUGAUGUGAAAUCUCACAACUUAACUGUGAAACUGCAUUGGAUACUAUCCGGCUAGAGGAAUGGAGGGGAGACUGGAAUACUUGGUGUAGCAGUGAAAUGCGUAGAUAUCAAGUGGAACACCAGUGGCGAAGGCGAGUCUCUGGACAUUUCCUGACGCUGAGGCACGAAAGCCAGGGGAGCAAACGGG